UACGGAGGGGACUAGCGUUGUUCGGAAUUACUGGUCGUAAAGCGCACGUAGGCGGAUUCGUAAGACAGGGGUGAAAUCCCGAGGCUCAACCUCGGAACUGCCUUUGAUACUGCGAAUCUCGUGUCCGGAAGAGGUGAGUGGAAUUCCUAGUGUAGAGGUGAAAUUCGUAGAUAUUAGGAAGAACACAAGUGGCGAAGGCGGCUCACUGGUCCGGUACUGACGCUGAGGUGCGAAAGCGUGGGGAGCAAACAGG
rnacentral:rRNA from 1 species